GGAGCCCCCGAGCUGGUGACCAUGGUGGAGCGGCUGCUGAGAGACUCGGAGCGUUGCCGGGGCGUCUCCAUCCACGUGGGCAGCGGUCCGUGCUGCAUGGCAGCCACUCGAGCUACUCGGAACAUGCUGCAGUAAACCACAAGGAUAAGGAGCAGAGGCAACAAAAAGUAAAGGGCAGCAAAGACCACCACGAAAAGCUGGCAGUAGGCACUGUGGCUCCAUUGGAGUGAGCAGCCUGGGGGGGUGCUGGGCGCUCCCUCCUCCCGGGAGACCCUUCCCAACACUGGCACAGAAGCCAUGGCCAAGGCUUUCACCCACACACCCACCAGCACAGAGGCCACCAGCCCCAGCGUCAUGCGCACCUCGUAGCGCAUGGGGUGGACAACGUAAUAGUAGCGCUCCACGUUGAUGGCCGACACCGAGAGAAUGGCCAGGCUUACGAAGCAUAUGCUCAGGAACAAGUAGAGGCGGCAGGCGACCUCCCCAAAGAGGUCAUGGUCAAAGAGGGCAGAGCUGGAGAGCAUGGCCAGGGGCAUGAGGGUCAGGGCGGCCAACAGGUCCACCAGGCACAGGUGGAAGACGAAGACGAAUUUUCGGAGGGCAGGUGUCUUGGCGAUAACAGCCAUCACAGCGGCGUUGCCAGCCACAGCGAUCAAGUCCAGCAGGAGCAUGAAGAAGAGGGCCACAGAUUCUGAGGCCACGUCCCGCAGCCCCGCCUCUGGGACCCCACUGGCAGUAGAGGGACCUGGCGUUUGAGGGACCCUCCCCAGAGUGGAAGAGUUCCCUGAUGACUGGGGGAUGGGAGAGGACUCCAUGGGGCCGGAAGAGGACACCCAGGGCACCUCCCGUCACAGGCCCAUCCCCCAUCCUAGUCCAGUGACCCUGGGAUGGCCAGCCCAGGCCCAGGCUUCCCAAUUUGGUGUGUGGGGAUAGGGGGGGAGGGCGCCUCCUGCUGGAGCCUCCUGGACAGGCUCUUACCGCCAGCCUCCCAGGUCAGACUGUGCAUAGGGAACGGAGGGCUCAGAAGCUCAUCUCUCCUUUCUGGAAGGUGGUGGCUCUGGUCCACCUUGGUGACAUCGAAGAAGCAGGAGAUGUGAGAGAUGCUGGAUCCUCACUCACUCAACACUCCACCUUCUGAGUGGUCUCGGGCUCCUUGUUUCUUUUCCUUUCCUCUGUUCUCCAUACCCUUCUCCCCUCUCAGGGAUUGUUAUCCAGAGAUUCUAAAUCCUCUUUCUCCCUCUCCCGGGGUCCCGCUGAGCUCCAGGAUAGUGCCCCAGUUUUAAAGUUGCUUAUGUAAAUUUCCCGAUUUCUUGACUCUCCAAAUGGCAGGAGCUGUUGGGGAGUAGAAGGGACACAGGAUCUGGUUUCCAGUUUCAGGUCUGGGAAUUGCUAACUCUGUCACUCUUGUGAACUUCAGUUUCCUCACAAAGACAUCUGUAAAAUGAAGAGAAUAAUAUCUACUUCACAAUUGUGUUUGGAGGGUCCGGUGAGACUUCAUAACAAUACUACCAAUAAGCAUAACAUUUACAUGGUGCUUUCCACAUGCCAAACCCUGUUUUAAGCACUGUACGUAAAUAAACUCAUUUUGGGGCGCCUGGGUGGCGCAGUCAGUUAAGCGUCCGACUUCAGCCAGGUCACGAUCUCGCGGUCCGUGAGUUCGAGCCCCGCGUCGGGCUCUGGGCUGAUGGCUCAGAGCCUGGAGCCUGUUUCCGAUUCUGUGUCUCCCUCUCUCUCUGCCCCUCCCCCGUUUAUGCUCUGUCUCUCUCUGUCCCAAAAAUAAAUAAACGUUGAAAAAAAAAAUUUUAAACUCAUUUUAAUCCUCACACAACCUAUGAGGUAGAUGUUAUUCUUAUCCCCAUUUUGCAAUUGAUGAAACAGGCCUAGAGAGGGGAAAUAACUUACCAAAAGUGGCAAGGUCUGCGUGUGUACCCGCAGCCCAAGUGCUCGGGCUCCAGGGCCAGUACUCUACCCACCAGACAGUGCCCCCCACAGCGGCUGGAACGCAGUAGGCAUUCGAUGAAUAGUCGUUGAACUUGAACCAUCUCUAAAAAUGUCUGUCAGUGUUCUGGGGCUCCCAUUUGGAAGAGAUCACCUGAAAGGGGGAAGGACCUUGCUUUAGUCUCCUGUGACAUCACCACCCCCCAAGACACAGAGUUGCCAUUUGGGGAGUGUUGAAAAGGAACAGUGAAAACAAAAUGUCCCAGCUGGAAGGAAGCUGGGAUGUCAGCUCAUCCAGCCUUCACUGCCCCCCAAGCCAGAAGGGGUAAGUCACUUGACAGCUGCCCUUCCUCACCCACUCAUUAGCUUCUCAAGGCCACUGUGCCCCUGCAGAUGGGAGAGGAAAUGCUCCCAACCUCACACUCCCCAGGUCCCAGGUCUCUGAUCACUGGAGCAGAUCCCUGGCCCAGAGUCCUCCUGGUCCUGGACUGUUAGCAGAAUCCAGAGUAAGGAGGGAAGAGUAGGUGUUUAAGAGGGGCACAGGGGUGAGAGAGGGUAGGUCACUGUUAUCAUGGAAAUAGGGGAGCAUAAAGCAGAGAAGGCAACUGAAGGAAAUUGGGAGAGGACGAAGUCUGGGGUUUCAGCGUCCCUCAUUUCUCCUGAUCAAAGGGCAGAUCAAAUGUUUUAUGUGUCUCGUUAUCCAUAUUAAGUUUGCAUAUAAUUGAAAUAAUAAUGCAAUUAUAAAUUAUUUUCAUUUCCAUAUCCUAUUCUUACAGUCUCUCAGUAUAAUGUGUGAAGGUAUGCAAAUUAGAGGCAAACUAUGGACAUGCCAAGUCUGAUGGGCUGUCUGUAGACAAGUCACAAGUUCCAUGGAUCACAGUUUCUUCAUCCGUAAAAUGGGAAGGUUGAACUGGACGACCACCAAGAUUCCCAUAUCUGACAACACUUAAUGACUCUGUGAGUUCCUGGGCUAUAAAGGGCCUUGUGGUUGCUCAAUUAAAAAACCCAUCGUGGGGCAUCUGGGUGGCUCAGUUGUGACUUCGGCUCAGGGCAUGAUCUCGUGGUUUGUAAUUUCGAGCCCUGCAUCAGGCUCUGCACUGAUGGUGCAGAGCCUGCUUGGGAUUCUCUCCCUCCCUCCCUCUCUCUCUCUCUCUCAAAAUAAAUAAACUUAAAAAAAAAAAAAAAACACACAUCAUUUCUCUGACUCUAAUGAAGUGGACCAUGUAAGGCAGACAGGCCCCAUUCCCUCUCCGUAGUUACAGCCUUACAAGCACCCUUGGGUUUUGGCAUUACCACCAACCUUGCACUAAUGCAUGCAAUAAGUACUCAAUAUAACUUUGUCAAUUAUAUCAAACUCAAACUUAUCUGUUAAAUCCCUGCCUCUGAGUACAUACUCCCAAAUACACUCAGUAGAUCAACUAUGUGCCAGCCAGGGGACUCUGCUUUGGAAAGGGUAACCUGGGCUCCUGGACUUGGGGCAGCCCUAACUUUGGACAAUUGCCUAGAGAGAUGCCUUUCCCCGGGGAUAACAGAAAGCUCGUUUCACAAUUAAAAUGGCCACAUAGGCUCAGGGUCUACAGAGAAGGUGAAGAGAGGGCUCAAAAGUGGAGACAUCAGCUUCUCACAAGACAGUCUGACAGAAAAAAAUGCAGAGAGCAACGCUAGGGGAGGUGUCCUUGCCCCUUACUCUCCAGGCCGUGACUUCUUCGUCCCUUCCACCUGGGAGUGGGGCCCAGAAGAUGUGGCUCUGAGGCCCUGGGAGUUGAAGGAUAGGCCUCCGUGUCUGCAUGGACAUUAAGAGUCUGCCAGCAAGGUGCACCCAGGGUCCCAGACUGAGGGAAGCAGACAUGGUAUCCACGUGGAGAUGGAGGGGGUUCUGUGCAGCCAUGAUGGAGCCCUAGGCAAGAAGGUAUUGGACGUUUCUCGUUUCCAUAGCCCCCUCGGCCUUGCCGGUAUCUCCACAUUGACUCCUAAAUACCAGGAUUCCAAUUUACCUCCUAACAGAUGGACCAACAUUCCUGCUCCCCAGCACCCUUCUCACUGAUGGGGGGGGGCGGCGUUGGGGAUGAGAGGGUUGUGCAUGACGGUGUCAGAGGGGAAGCCCAGAGAGCCUCACUCCACCCCUAGCUCACAUCAUCAUGCCUUUUCACAUGCUCUCGUCUUCCCACUGCUUCCUUCCAGCAAGCCCUCCCUCACCUCCAGCACCUCUCAGUACCUGGCAGGCUUUGCCACCACAGGGGCUAAAGUCUGGUCUCCCAGCAAGGGCAUGGUCAAGUUACAAAUAUCCUUGUUUCAGGAUGCAAGAUGUGCAUAAGUGCUGAGCCCAAGGCCACAGAGGUGUCGUUGGGAUUCGCAUGCACCUGUUUCCCAAAUACAGAGCUUCCACCUCAAGAACCCGAGCCCAGCCUUUCUUCAGACAAGAGCAUGCCCCCUCGUAAGCCAGGGGAGAUUUCCAGGGGGCUACCACACCUCUCCCCAGCAGAGUUGCCCACGCCCAGGACACAGAGUUGCCCAUGAGCGUAGAUAUCAAGGGACCCACUCCUAGGAUGUGGGGUACCCAUCUCUAUGACAUGGAGCAAGACAGAUGGGGAACCCUGUCUGCCCGUGGGAUGUGGGUACUCCCGCUGGCAGGAGAUCAACCCCCAUCUCUAGGCUUCAGACAUGCCCACACCCCAGUACUGCCUUUGAGAUACCUGGGAGCCCAUCCCUUGACAAAACUGCCCACCAUAAGGUAGGGUGGGCUGGGUGGGCUGGUCCCUGGGACACAGAGCUACCCUCCUGCAGAGUACCUGAGCACUCACCAUCAGGCUAUCGGACUGGCCCCCAUUCCUGGCCUAGUCGGCAACUCCUACCUUUGCUGAGCAGCUCCCGGCUCCCAUGUGAUAGCUCCUCUCAGCUGAU
rnacentral:lncRNA from 1 species